GCCUGGUUAGCUCAAUCGGUAGAGCGUCAGACUCUUAAUCUGAAGGCUGCGGGUUCGACCCCCGCAUCGGGCU